UACGUAGGUGACCAGCGUUGUCCGGAUUUACUGGGCGUAAAGAGCGCGCAGGCGGUCGUUCAAGUCGAGUGUGAAAGCCCCCGGCUCAACUGGGGAGGGUCAUUCGAUACUGAUCGACUUGAAGGCAGGAGAGGGAAGUGGAAUUCCCGGUGUAGUGGUGAAAUGCGUAGAUAUCGGGAGGAACACCAGUGGCGAAGGCGGCUUCCUGGCCUGUUCUUGACGCUGAGGCGCGAAAGCUAGGGUAGCAAACGGG
rnacentral:rRNA from 1 species